rnacentral:rRNA from 1 species
GAUGAACGCUAGCUACAGGCUUAACACAUGCAAGUCGCGGGACCGGCGCAGGGGUGCGUAACGCGUAUCCAACCUGCCCUUCACCACGGGAUAACCCGGCGAAAGUGGGACUAAUACCGUCUGGUGAGGGCUGGGGAUGCGUCCGAUUAGCUUGACGGCGGGGUAACGGCCCACGGUGGCUACGAUCGGUAGGGGUUCUGAGAGGAAGGUCCCCCACACUGGAACUGAGGCACGGUCCAGACUCCUACGGGAGGCAGCAGUGAGGAAUAUUGGUCAAUGGGCGUAAGCCUGAACCAGCCAAGUAGCGUGCAGGACGACGGCCUAUGGGUUGUAAACUGCUUUUAUGCGGGGAUAGGUACCGCAUGAAUAAGGACUGGCUAACUACGUGCCAGCCGCCGCGGUAAUAC